rnacentral:rRNA from 1 species
AACGAACGCUGGCGGCAUGCCUAACACAUGCAAGUCGAACGAACCCUUCGGGGUUAGUGGCGCACGGGUGCGUAACGCGUGGGGAUCUGCCCUUUGCUUCGGAAUAACAGUUAGAAAUGACUGCUAAUACCGGAUGAUGUCGUAAGACCAAAGAUUUAUCGGCAAAGGAUGAACCCGCGUAGGAUUAGCUAGUUGGUGAGGUAAAGGCUCACCAAGGCGACGAUCCUUAGCUGGUCUGAGAGGAUGAUCAGCCACACUGGGACUGAGACACGGCCCAGACUCCUACGGGAGGCAGCAGUGGGGAAUAUUGGACAAUGGGCGAAAGCCUGAUCCAGCAAUGCCGCGUGAGUGAUGAAGGCCUUAGGGUUGUAAAGCUCUUUUACCCGGGAUGAUAAUGACAGUACCGGGAGAAUAAGCUCCGGCUAACUCCGUGCCAGCCGCCGCGGUAAUAC